UACGGAGGGUGCAAACGUUGCUCGGAAUCAUUGGGCGUAAAGCGCACGUAGGCGGUCCGACAAGUCGGGUGUGAAAGCCCUCGGCUUAACCGAGGAAGUGCAUUCGAAACUAUCGGACUUGAAUACUGGAGAGGGUUGCGGAAUUCCCGGUGUAGAGGUGAAAUUCGUAGAUAUCGGCAGGAACACCCAGGGGGAAACCAGCCGGCUGGGGACGAGCUGACGCUCAGGGGCGAAAGCGUGGGGAGCGAACCGG
rnacentral:rRNA from 1 species